rnacentral:rRNA from 1 species
AGCGCGGCUUACACAUGCAAGUCGAGGGGCAGCACAGUGCAGCAAUGUAUGGGUGGCGACCGGCGCACGGGUGAGUAACGCGUAUGCAACCUACCUAUAAGAGGGGGAUAGCCCGGCGAAAGUCGGAUUAAUACCCCGUAAGACAGGGGUUCCGCAUGGGACUAUUAGUUAAAGGAUUUAUUGCUUAUAGAUGGGCAUGCGUACCAUUAGGUAGUUGGUAGGGUAACGGCUUACCAAGCCUUCGAUGGUUAGGGGUUCUGAGAGGAAGGUCCCCCACACUGGAACUGAGACACGGUCCAGACUCCUACGGGAGGCAGCAGUGAGGAAUAUUGGUCAAUGGCCGCAGGGCUGAACCAGCCAAGUCGCGUGAAGGAGGACGGCCCUAAGGGUUGUAAACUUCUUUUGUAUGGGAAUAAAGUGCGGGAUGUGUCCUGUUUUGUAUGUACCAUACGAAUAAGCAUCGGCUAACUCCGUGCCAGCAGCCGCGGUAAUACGGAGGAUGCGAGCGUUAUCCGGAUUUAUUGGGUUUAAAGGGUGCGUAGGUGGGCUGUUAAGUCAGCGGUGAAAUUUUGGUCGCUUAACGAUAAAAAUGCCGUUGAAACUGGUGGUCUUGAGUAUGGAGGAAGCAGGCGGAAUGCGUGGUGUAGCGGUGAAAUGCUUAGAGAUCACGCAGAACUCCGAUUGCGAAGGCAGCUUGCUAUACCAAAACUGACGCUGAGGCACGAAAGCGUGGGUAUCAAACAGGAUUAGAUACCCUGGUAGUCCACGCAGUAAACGAUGAUUACUAGGAGUUUGCGAUAAAGCGUAAGCUCUACAGCGAAAGCGUUAAGUAAUCCACCUGGGGAGUACGCCGGCAACGGUGAAACUCAAAGGAAUUGACGGGGGCCCGCACAAGCGGAGGAACAUGUGGUUUAAUUCGAUGAUACGCGAGGAACCUUACCCGGGAUUGAAAUGUGCACGAAUGGGGAUGAAAAUUUCAGCCAGCGAUGGCGUGCAUGUAGUGCUGCAUGGUGUCGU